CCUAAUAUAACACUUGCUUUCUUUGCCUCCCUUUCCCUCUCUAAGUCCUAACCAAACCUUGCUUUAUCUGCUACCCUUUCCUUCGAUCUCUGAUGGCGACAUAUCUCGUAACCGUGCUAAAAAUGACGACAGAUCUCUUCAUCUUGCUCAAGCCUAACAUCAAACUGUCCAAUUUGAUUGGUUUGUUCUUUCUUUUUCUAUAAUUUCAUCAUUUUUAUUGUUAAUUGUGGUGGAUUUGGUUGGUGGUGGAUUUUGUGUUAGUUUCGGAGGAGCCGGUGAGCAUGUAGAGAACUUGUUGAAGGAGGAAGUGCCAUCUUGGACGAUGAUGGUUGAUUAAAGGUUGGUUUCAGAUAGGGUUCGAGCGAAGUGUUGUUGUUUGGGGGUCGGUGGAGGACUCCAUUUGUGUUGGUUUUAGUAUUGGUGUUAGUGUUGUAGCUACUGGUUGUGGCGGUGCGGCACUCAUGUUCUUCAUCCUCCAUUUUACAAUUUCAGGUCAAUUUUCUCUCUCCUCUCUCAUUCUAGUUGUAUUUUACCAUCUUCCUUGUUAUUUUACCAGUUGAAAAAAAAACUGUAGCUAGUUAGUAAAAAUAGAGUAAGAACAUGGAAGAUUGUAUUUGAUGUUGUUAUUAAUUCAGUUUAUUAAAACAUUGGAUUUGGAUUUUUAUUUUUGAUAUUACUAAAUUUGGGAGUUUUAUUAAUUAUAGGGACUAAAACAUUGGAAUUGGAUUAUUAAUUAAUUAUUAUUGUAUUUGAUGUUGUUAUUAAUUAAGUUUAGUAAAACAUUGGAUUUGGAUUUUGAAGGAAAUAAUGCCCUUGGUCCAAGUAUGCAUUCAAUGCUAAGUCUAAUAAAUGCGGUUCAGUAUUAAUUAUACAAGUUAAUAAUUCAGUGAGAUCAAGUGAACUGUAUGCCUAGCUAGAGGCCGCUUCACUUCAAGUGGAAUUAAUAAUAUUAAUCCACAGUUUACUCUUGACUGAACCCGUAGGGUCACACAAAUAGUACGUGAACGGAUCAAGUAUUUAAGUGAAUUAAAUACUCCAUUUAUGGAUAUUCGGAAUCGACGGAUCUCGAUUUCAGUGGGAGCUCAAAUCGUCAAAAGGUUGAAUUCUAGUUAAUUAAAUAUAAGGCGGAUCCGAACGUGCUGUGGACUAUCUACGGAGGGACUACAUUUGGAGUCCUAAACUUGUUCUUGUUCGGUUCGGGAGCAGCUAGGGAGGGCACGCUACAAAUCUGUAGCAGUUACCCUUCCUCUGGUGCCAUCAACUCACCGUCAAACUCUGCCACAAUCGACUUUUCAGUCUUGCUGCAAGAUGUUGUCGUCAAGCUGUCUGUUUUAUCGUCCUGCGGUUCGCCCUGCACAGUUUGCAGUGUUUUCUGUUAUGUCCUUUCCAUCACAAGGAGUAGACGUGUCAUUAAAGCUAUCUUGGUUGAGAUCCCAGCUUGCAGAUGAUGGUUGUUCUUGUAUAAUGAUCACCAAGAUUGACAAAAUUGCUUGGUUGCUCAAUUUGGUGAGAUUCUCAACACUACUCCAACUGCUUCAUAUUUUGUAAUUUUGUAUUGCUGAGAGGAAGUGAUAUUCCUAAUUCUCCUGUUAUGUAUGCAUAUUUGGCUGUGGAGAGUGAUCAGUCCAAGCUAUUUAUUAAUGAAGUAAAAUCACAUAAGAAGUGAUGGGGGACUUGCAGAAUGGUGGUGUAGAGUUGAGGCCUUAUGAUUCAGAAUACAGUUGAAAAGUAAGAUUGCAUAUAUGUUAGAUAUAGACUUAAAAAUGUGAAUGUAUAUCUGUGUGUUUUCUUUAAAUAAUUUCCUCCUUUUUAAAUGUCUGAGAAUUUAUUGUAUAUGUAGAGUAUGUAGAUAGAUGCCGUUAGUAGUAACCUGUUCAAUUCACACACGUAUUUCUUAUCUCCACAUACUUAACUUAUUUAAAAUGUGGGUGUGCUACUUUAAUUUUCUCAUCAUCUUAUUUGCUUCCAGUAGAGGUUUAUAGUUAGAUAGAUUGUGUGAUCUAUAUUAAGAACGAGAUGAUCUCAAUAGAAUAACAAUUUCAGAACGAGUAUUUUAUAUCUCUUCUCACAUUUCCAGGUUUAUCUUAUAUUUAUUACUUAGUAUUUCGUACAUUUGUUGCUUAAAACAUUCACUUCUUCUUGACGCCAUGAAUUUUUCUAUUGUUCCUAUAGAACCAUAAUACCAUAUAAUAUUUUACAAUUAAAUGUAAGAAGAUAAGUUAGACACACGUUAAGGGAGCAGGGGAAGUUUGAAGGGGUUGUUUUAAUGCAACUUUGUCUGACUACAGAGGAUUUGUAUUCCCUCUUCUCUUCAUUUUUGUCGGGAAAGGGGUCAUAAGUUGUGUGUCUUGAGCUUUUGAGUGGUUCAAAAGGAAAACUUAGCUUCUAAUGUAUUUUCUUUAUAGUCAAGACAACCUUUAUUUGAGAAAUUAAAGGAGUUGUACUCAUUGCGCAAGGGCUUUGAGCUCAUCUGUAGACGAGCCUAUGAAAAAAACACUAUAUUAUCUGAUGGCAGCAAGUAACAGCGAAAUUUUCUAUUUUGGUGUUCGAACGAAUUUUAAAGAUAUAUGUAAUUUGUUUGAAAUUCAUAAAUAUGUGUUUUUAGCUCAUAUAGUCAUAUGUGUGCUACAUCUCGUGUAAGCCACUAUUUAUCGGUUUAGGUUUGGCUAGAUACUUUUAGGUGAUUUUGGAGAUACAUUCCCUUGCACUACUGAUCCCAAUGUGUAUACCCUUCUUCUCCAAGGUACUCUCUUCCUCUUUCUUUACUUAUUCUUGCUUUAUUUCUUUUAAGCCGCGUGAUACAAUUAAGCCCAUUACCUGCUAAUCUGCAAUCAUUGUUCUGUUCAGCAAUUCCCAUUUCACAAUUACUCUAAUCUCUUUAACUGAAUAUUACUCUAUUAUAAGGCAUGUAUUAAAAUGGUGAACCUGUUUCUUGACUCAAAUAUAAAAUUAAAAAAAAAAUCAAUAAGAAAAGUAAAUUAAAGUCACGGAGAACAGAAGCUGGCUAGAGAUGUUUUCCAUAAUCAAAGAAAAGAACCUCAUUUCAAUUUAUUUAACGUUACUAAUCGGUUAAUAUUCGGUGGUCUGAACUAAUUUAUUUGCUUAAUACACUGACAUUUUCACUGCAUAGUGUUUAUUGGCUCAAUUUUUUCUGUUAAAUUUGGUUUGUUUACCUGAUAUUAGCAUCUGGGUUAUUUUAUUCGGCUGCAAUGGUGCUUACCUCAGGUUGAUUAGUGAUCAAUGUUUAAAUUAGUUAAGAAAUGAUGUAAAUUCUCCUUCAGUUUGGUGAGCAAUGGAAGAGAACAUUAUAUUCUCCUUGCUUACUCUACUGUUUCGUACUACUCUUUCUGAAUUUCUUGAAUGAUAUAGCAAGAUUUUAAUUUAUUUUUUUCCUCAAGUUCUCACCCUUGUUGCAUUACUUGCACAGAAGCUAAAUGUUUUCAUUUUUUCCCACACCGAGGUUUAUGUGCUUGACUGCUUAACUGCUUGACUGUCGCUGGCAAUGGUAUUUCAGCUGAUCUUGCUAUGAUGUAUAUUGUUGUCUUGGCAAUUGUGAUUGUGUAGCUUUUGACCUAUAUAUGUUAGACUAGUAAUUGGUUGUUGAAUGUUGUUAAUCUUUAGUUAAGUUUACAUCUUGGCAUAUACAAGGAUGUCCUAGGCAGCUAGGCAGCUUUACAAAUACACAUUAUAGUUAUUUCAUGGUGUUCUGGCCGAAUUAAUGGAGCUUCAGUCAGAUACAUAGUGUUAUCUUUUUGUGGUGGUUGUCCUAGCUUCAUAGUUGAUGUUGCUACGAUGGUAUAUUAAAUGCUUUUAUUACUUACUUAAGAGUGCCUUUUCAUUUUGUAAGGCGUAGAAUGUUAUAGCUAGAAGCUGUCAGCAGAUUCCAGAUAUUGGGUGGAGGGAGUUGGGACAGGGAUACAGUUGUUAGUGCACUGCGUGCUGCAUAUAACUGAAUGGGCUGUUCAAUAUUCAUAUUGUGUAUGUCUAUGUCUAAUGACUCUUAUGUCAUGCUCUCCCCUCCUUAAAACUCAAGACCAUGCCGACAUUGUGUUUAGCUUUGGUUGUUAUUUCUUUCCAAGGUAUAUAUAUUUUAAUGUUUCAAUACAUUUUUGGGUUUGCUUGCAUAUUGGCGUCUGAUGCCUGGAAUUUGCGUAUCGUGGGUUGAGAUGAAUUUCAGUACUUAGGUGUUUUUUGUGUUGAUCCUCAUGUAGUUUCUGGUAUUUAAUUACAGAUAAUAUAAGGCCAAGAAGCUCUGGGUUCAUCUUUUUGAUGCCAUCUCCUACUUCCGUGCUUCGGCAUUUUUGUUCCAAAAGUUUGCCAAAGUACGAAGCAUCACAUGAAUACUAAACAAAGAAGAAACUCCAACAACAAAGACAACAUGGAGAAGCAGCAAAAUGCCAGAAACAACAUCCACUACCACAUUCUCAUUUUCCUCCGUGGUUCAGGAACUGGUCGAGGCUCGAACAUAAACGUAUUCAGCAGCAGUAUGGUUGGCAGCAAUGACGAUACAUAUCCUAGAGGUUACAGAAAAGAUCAUGCUAUAGGAUGAGCAUCGAAAAAAUAGGCCACCAUAUUUUUUUCAAGUGUCCGAAAGAUUUCAGUCAUGGGCCUGAAUUUGGAAUUAUCAAAUAGAAGGAGCUAAGGAUUAUGCUAAAGGAUUCUUCUAGAUGUGGAGAACAUUGAGGAUCCAAGCUGCAACAAGUGUGUGGACAAUUGGACAUUUAAUGGUGGUUGUAUCAAUAUUUGUUGCAUUUCAGAUUUGAUGAUUGAGCUUUAUAUAAGAAGUAGGUGGAGGCAUUCAGUAUGUGCUUCUGUAUCAGAUAUCCUGCUGAGCCGAGCUAUUCAGACAUUCAGUAUUUGCUUCUACAUCAGAUAACCUCUGUUGAGUCGAGCUACUCUUGAGCUACUCUUGCCUUGCCUUCUGCCCAGUUUCUUUGGGCUGAUGUAAGGUCCUAAUGUUCAUGUUAUAUGAAAUUCGAAUACAAUAAAUUUUUAUUUAUUUAUAUACUUCGUAUAGGAUUCUAACUUCGCGUAGAAUUGAAUAUAUUUACAAAGGAUACUUGGUGGUGAUUAUGAUGACGUCAAUGUCACGGGAAUAGGAACAUUGGGGGCACUAAGCGAUUUUUCCGAUGACAAAGACUUUGGUUAUUAUCAAAGUUAAUUUCUUGUUUUUUAUUAAUUUAGAUUGAUUUCUGAAGUUGUAUAUGCUUAGAAACAAUAUUUUCCUUGUAUUAUUUGGAAUUGUAAGUUUUAAUAUAACAUUCGUAGAACCGACUUAAUAA